rnacentral:rRNA from 1 species
GCGUGAGUGAUGAAGGCCUUAGGGUUGUAAAGCUCUUUCGGCGGGGACGAUGAUGACGGUACCCGCAGAAGAAGCCCCGGCUAACUUCGUGCCAGCAGCCGCGGUAAUACGAAGGGGGCGAGCGUUGUUCGGAAUUACUGGGCGUAAAGGGCGCGCAGGCGGCGUCGGAAGUCGGGCGUGAAAGCCCCGGGCUCAACCUGGGAAUUGCGCUUGAUACUCCGAUGCUGGAGUUCGGGAGAGGAGAGUGGAAUUCCCAGUGUAGAGGUGAAAUUCGU